rnacentral:rRNA from 1 species
GACGAACGCUGGCGGCGUGCUUAACACAUGCAAGUCGAACGGUAAGGCCCUUCGGGGUACACGAGUGGCGAACGGGUGAGUAACACGUGGGUGAUCUGCCCUGCACUUCGGGAUAAGCCUGGGAAACUGGGUCUAAUACCGGAUAGGACCAAUGCCUGCAUGGGAGGUGGUGGAAAGCUUUUGCGGUGUGGGAUGGGCCCGGGGCCUAUCAGCUUGUUGGUGGGGUGAUGGCCUACCAAGGCGACGACGGGUAGCCGGCCUGAGAGGGUGACCGGCCACACUGGGACUGAGAUACGGCCCAGACUCCUACGGGAGGCAGCAGUGGGGAAUAUUGCACAAUGGGCGCAAGCCUGAUGCAGCGACGCCGCGUGAGGGAUGACGGCCUUCGGGUUGUAUACCUCUUUCAGCACCGACGAAGCGCAAGUGACGGUAGGUGCAGAAGAAGGACCGGCCAACUACGUGCCAGCAGCCGCCGUAA